rnacentral:lncRNA from 1 species
AGACAAUGCAACACAACAAGUUAAAGAUCAUGUUUUUCCUAGUUAACGUCUUGUAUCAACUACUAAAACUCUAGAAAAAAUAUGAAUAUAUUUAGAGGUUACAAACCAGUGUAGGCAAGCCCUCCGACACUUCCGUGUACGUGAUUUCUACAUGAUAUCCUCCCUCUUCUGACUCUAUAUCUUCAACACACUGCUCUUUGCCUUUUGCAUUUCUUUUGCUCAGGUGUCAGUGUCUGUGCACCGUUGUAUUCAUAAAUGUAUAGGAUACAUUAGUGUUGAAAACAAGUUAAAAAUAGAGGGGGUAGGAGAAAGUAUGACAAAGAAGAAGUUAAAAUCGUGGCACUAGCUAGAAGAGAAUUUCUACUACUAGUUUGUAAAUCAGCAUAUCAUGCCCGCCUGGUGCACUAGCGACACUAUCUCUGAGAUUGAACACAUGCGCAUUUAAAAAAAUCUGAACAGAAAAAAACAAUCUGAACAUAUAUCCAGCAGCUACUAGUUGUGAUCCCUGUUAUGAAAAACAUUCAUCCCAACACACACACGCGUGCAAAGCACAGGAUUGGCUAGCCAGCUUUUACAAAUGAUUUGAUGUUUGUUAUCUCAAGCAGGGCAUUGCCAAGCCUACAAAAAAUCUGGCUAGCAUAACAAAGACACCAUCGUUGUCAUUAUAGUAAACAAAAACUGAACCUGGAACAGGCAUACACAUUGUCUCGACUCUACUUCAGGAAUAUACAAACUUUAGUGAUUGCUUGAGUUAAAAAAAACAAGACAAAAAAUAUAUAAUCAUUCCCCUGGGAUCCCACAAUGUCAUCGCCUCUCAAACAUCUCCCAAAUCAUGUCCACCCCUCCCCACUCCCCCAAGCAACUGAUCUGCUGCUAGUAUUUGAAAAUGUAAGCAUGCAUCGACGCACAGCGAAAAAAGUCACCAAAAAUUACAGCCCCCGUCAGCACACAUGACAUCACAUCCAUGUUGACUGCAGAAAAAAAGAGGACUUAGUGCUACUGUAGUUAGCAAGUGUCCGUUUGAAAAAAGAGUGUUGUGGAAGCACAUAAGGUUGAUGCCAAGUUAAACUGAAGCAAUACACACCAUGCAGAUAUAUUUUGGUCCAUUUUCAUUCUUUAAACAAAAGCCUGCCUACCAAAUACCACUGCUAACAAUCCCUCUAAUUCAGCUACAAACUCAACAAGACUAUUCCUGCAAAAACUAGUACACGGAUUCAGAGAACUAAAAAAAUGACAAACAAACACACAUUCAGGUUAACUCAGGUGAAAAGAACUCUCUGCAAAAUCCAGCUUCACCGGGGACCUCUCGACCUAAAAAUAAUCAAAAGAGGAACUAUCUGUACUUAAUGAACCCAUCUCUAGCAGUACACUUGCAAUUAGGAUAUUGGGAAAACAAAAUCAAAACGAAAGUAAGGUGCAGAUCCAAAAAAACAAUGCGUGAGCUUACUCUGAAUAAACAUCAUGUGCUUACACGCGUCAGGUUUUGGAUGGAUUUGAAAUUUGAAAUCAAAAGCUAGUCUCACCUCUAGCUGCUUAGGUUAGUACAACAAUGGUCUCACCUUUUUUGCAUGACUAAUGUCGGACAUGCAACUGUCCCCCUUCUCCUCGUCGCCCCCUCCUCCCGACAAAACAAAGGCGAGUUGCAACCAGGUUAGAAAACAUGCAGAUGCGGUUGGGGGCGUCGCUUGCAGUUACAUGGCUAGCGUCAGACAUGUAACUGCCCCCAUCUCCUUGCCGCCCCUCUGACAAAACAAUACCUAGUCGCAGCCAUGUUGGAAGACAUGCAAUUGCAAUCGGGGGUGACGCUUGCAGUUGCAUAACUAGUGUCGGACAUGCAACUAUCCCUCCUCUCACCGUCGUCCCCUCCAACAAAACCCAGUUGCAACCAUGUUGGAAGACAUGUAGUUGCAGUCGAGAGGCGACACUUGCAGUUGCAUGCUAGUGUCAGAGAUGCAACUUACACAUUCCAUCAAAACAAAAAGGCCAGUUGCGACCACAUUGGAAGGCAUGCAACUUGCAGUUGCAUAACUAGUGUCGGACAUGCAACCAUCCCUCCUCUCACCAUCGUCCCCUCCAACAAAACCCAGUUGCAACCAUGUUGGAAGACAUGUAAUUGCAGUUGAGAGGCGACACUUGCAGUUGCAUGCUAGUGUCAGAGAUGCAACUUACACAUUCCAUCAAAACAAAAAGGCCAGUUGACCACAUUGGAAGGCAUGCAGUUGCAGUCCGGGGUUGACAAUUGCAGUUGGAUGCCUAGAAUCGAACAUGCAACUCCCACUUUCCCACAAAACAAAAAGACCAGUUGCGAUCACGUUGGAGAGUUGCGGCCGGGGGUAACAGUUGCAGUUGCAUGCCUAUUACUAGACAUGCAACUACCCCCCCCCCCCCAACUUGGAACUACCUCACCGACCGCCGCCCUCCGACAAAAACACAAGGCCAGUUGUGGUCGGUAGGGAGACAUGCAAAUGCAGUUGGGGCGACACUUGCAGUUGCAAGCCUACUGUCGGCAUGCAAUUGCAACCAUGUUGGAAGGCAUGCAUUUGCAGUCGGGCUGACAAUUGCUAUUGCAUGCCUACAUGCAACUCCCACCUCCCCACAAACAAAAAGGACCAGUUGCAACCACGUUGCAAGGCAUGCAGUAGCAGUCCAUGGUGGCAAUUGCAAUUGGAUGCCUAGAAUCGUACAUGCAACUCCCACCAUCCAGUAAUACAAAAAGACUAGUUGCGACCAUGUUGGGAGAGUUGCAGUCGGAGGUAAUGUUGUAGUUGCAUGCUUAGUACUCGAAACACAAGACUAGUUAUGGUCAGUAGGGAGACAUGCAAAUGCAGUUGGGGGUGACACCUACAGUUGCAAGCCUACUGUUGAACAUGCAGUUGCAACCAUGUUGGAAAGCAUGUAGUUGCAUGUGUAAUAUUGGACAUGCAACUCCCACCUUCCAACAAAACAAAACGACCAGUUGCAACCAUGUUGGAAGGAAUGCAGUUGCAGUCCGGUGGUGACAGUUGCAAUUGCAUGCCUAGUAUCAGACUUGCAACUCCCACCUUCCCACAAACAAAUAGACCAGUGGCGACCAUGUUGGGAGAUUUUAGGUGCAAUCGGGGGUGACAGUUGCAGUUGCAUGCCUAGUACUAGACUUGCAACUACCUCACCCCCGCCGCCCUCCAACAAAAACGCAAGGCCGGUUCGGGUUGGUAGGGAGACAUGCAAAUGCAGUUGGGGGCAACACUUGCCGUUGAAAGCCUACUGUCGGACAUGAAGUUGCAAACAUGUUGGAAGGCAUGCAAAUGCGGGGUGGGGGUGACAAUUGCAGUUGCAUGCCUAGUAUCAGACAUGCAACUCCCACCUUCCAACAAAACAAAAGGACUAGUUGCGACCACUUUGAAAGGCAUGCAGUUCGUAGUCGGGGGUGACGACUACAGUUGCAUGCCUAGUAUGACACAUGCAACUCCCACUUUCCAACAAAACAAAAAGACUAGUUGCAACAACAUUAGCAGUGGUGCAAUUGCAGUUGCGGGUGACUGUUGCAGUUGCAUGCCUAACACUGCACUUGCAAUUACCCCCUCCCUCGACUUGCAACUUCCUCACCUCCCCUCUCUCUUUCCCCCUCCAACAGAAACACAAAGCCAGUUGCAGUCGGUAGGGAGACAUGCAGUAAUAGUUGGGCGCGACACCUAUAGUUGCAAGCUACUAUCGGACAUGCGGUUGCAGUCAUGGGUGACAGUUGCAUGCCUAGUACCGGACAUGCAACUCCCCCCCCACUUGCAACUACGUCACCCCCUCUCUCUCCUCCGCCGCCCUACGACAAAAACACAGACAUGCAAUUACAGUUGGGCGUGAGACUUGUAGUUGCAAGCCAACUAACGAAAUGCGGUUGUAGUUGGUGGUCACAGUUGUAGUUGCAUGCCCAGUAUCGGUCAUGCAAUUCCCCAAAAAAACUCGUUGCAUCCCUUGUUGGAAGGCAUGCAAUUGCAGUUGGGGUGUGACCGUUGCAAGUGCAUGCCUACUACUGGACAUGCAAAUGCCCUCCCCCUCGGACUUCCAACUACCCCACCCCUCACCCUAUGACAAGAAAGCCCUGGGAAAAUACAACAAAACCCUACAAAAGCCCCUAGCUGUGGGUCGAGGGUUGAGUUGGCAUUGGGUCGGGCCCCUAGGGGUGCAAGUGCAACUACAAAAUCCCGAGGAAAAGCUCCCGGGUUGUGAGUCAAGCGUUGACUAGCAACUUGGGCACCUACAAAAUCCUAGGAAAAAGCUCCCAGGAUGUGAGUCAAAAGGUUGACUUGCAACUCAGGCUACUACAGAAAAUGUAUGAAAAAGCCCCUAGUUGCGAGUCGAGGGAUGACUUGCAAAUUGGGGGCAACUACAAAAACCUAUGAAAAAAUUCCUAGUUGUGAGUAAAGGGUUGACUUGCAACUAGGGCAGUUACAAAACCUAUGAAAAAGCCUCCCUAGGAGCAUCUCGAUACUUGACAUGCAACUAGGUCGGGGGCCUGGGGUGCAACUACAAAAGCCUACGAAAAAGCCUCAAUUGUGAGUCAAGGGUUGACUUCCAACUGCCCCUCCCCCUACAAACUAUGAAAAAAGCCUAGUUGAGUGCCAAUAGUUGACAUGCAACUGGGAGCAGGGUCCCAGGGUGCAACUACAAAACUACGAAAAAGCCCCCAAUUAAGAGUCGAGGGUUGACUUGUAAGACAAAUAUGAGUGUUCUAUCAAACUAUCAUUCCUAAAAAAACCUCUCCAGGAAAAAAGAAUAUAAAAUGUGUAUUAUAACAAAAAAUAGUAAAAAAUAUAACAAAAACAAGUAAAACAAUUUCAGAUUUUUACUUGAAGUAUACCGAAAACAAAAAAAAGCUGAAAAUUGGAAAACAUGUACAUCCAUACUUGAAAAAAUGCAGUUCAGAGUUACAAAAACUAAAAACCCUACAAAAAGCUUAUAGUUCAGAUUUGAAUUAUGUAUUUGGUUUGCCACAAACGUCACCUUCGCUCCCAUCAUGUUGUUGAAACGGACCCUUUCAUUGCAUGGCACAACCUAUUUUGGUUGAACACAAAAAAGCAAAGAACAAAAGUUAGGAGUGGUCUCAUGACAAAGACUAAUAUAAAAAGAAACAAAGGAUAAAAAAUGAGAAAAUAUAUUAAAAAAAUAAGCUAGUGAGUUACCCUGCGUUUUUGAAGUGCUCCCAUACAUACAUGCUGAAACCGCUUCCCUCACUCUCAUAGUUGCAAUGGUUCAAACAAACUCCACAAGCCAUCUCCUGUGCGCAUAAAAAAAAGCAAAAAAGAAAAUAAUUAAAUGGGUAACUCACUAACAGCACAAAUAUGAAAAAGUAAAAAACUGGAUUCAGAAAAGCAUAACUAGAAAAUGAAUGAUUGCAAAAUAUCUGGAUUUCAGCAUUUAUUCCUGUAUGUUUAUGACUGUGGUGUGAACCCAAAUCCUGCUUACCAGAUGCUAAGCGCCAUUAUUUAUACACAACAAAAAAGAACUACUGCUGCCCCUAAUUAAUCUAAUAUAGCAGUGGUGACAAACUACUAGGGGCAUGUGCCAGCAAAUAUCCCCGCUGUGUCGGCACUCAGCAGAAACAACAGCAAGAUCAAGUUGUCAAAAAAAAUGACUAGUAGAGGUUAUAUCCUAACAAAAGGUCAACUUAGGCACCCUAAAAACACAUGCUCCUCCUGUAUAGAAGCAUGGAAGAACUAGCUUAAUUAAUAUUUGUUCUCCUGCAAACGAAGUCUCCAUGAUUUAGUGACUCUCAAAAAGUCAUAGCAUAAAAAUAGCAGUACUGGCAGUACUUUUGCUCAAUACUAUUCCAGAUCUUCUCGGCCAAAGAUCCUAAUUAAUCUCUAAGUACCUACAAAGCAAAAAAAUGAUUAGUAGUACUCGUAGUACUAGUUCUGGUCCUACACAUGUAUAGAUCAAUCAGGUCAGCUCUAGUGCUGUUGAGCUUUUGCACCUGCACAAAACUGUAAAAAACCAGUACCACACCAGAAAAAUGGGUUUCAGUACAAAUCUGAAAAUUUAAAAAUCAACAUGCCGCUGCUAGUGAUGGGUUCAGUAAUCAUUAUCUUGAUUCCACCGAAAAAAUUAGAGCAUGGUACUGAUUCUAGGGUUCAGCAAAAUCUGAAAAACAAAAAAAAUGCUACUGCUAGAAAAUACGUUCAGUAAUCAUUCUCUUUGACUCCUUAGAAAGAUUUGAACAUGCUACUGAUUAAUAGGGUUUCAGAAAAAAUCUGAAAAAACAAAAAAAUACAAGCCCACUCCUAGUGAUAGGUUCAGUAAUAAUCUCUUGUUUCCAGAGAAUGGUUUCAAAACAAGCUACUGAUUAAUAGGGUUUCAGCAAAAUCUGAAAAAAAAAACAUGUCACUCCUAGUGAUAGGUUCAGUAUUAAUCCUCUUGUUUCCAGAGAAUGAUUUCAACAUGCUACUGAUUGCACAAGGGUUUCGGCAAUCUGAAAAAAAACAAACAAAAAUGGACGCACUACAUACCACUGCUUGAAGAAAAAGGACACGAAAAAAGGACUAAAUCUGGGAGGGAUUCCAUGCUUCAAGCUACUAAUCUAGACUUGAUCCAAACAAAAAAUGGAACCCAAUCCCCUCAGAUCUGAAGCAGAGCGCCAACAAAUAAACAAAAAAAUUGGAGGAAAGAGGGUAACACUUACUCCACUAGCAGCAUCGCCCAGGCUCUCACUGGCCGUUCAAGAGCAAAGGCGAUUUCUUUCGUUCCACCGCAGAGAUCUUUGGCUUUUUGACAGAGAAAGAACAGAGAGAUAGACGAAGAAAUGGACUGAUUUGGCCACGGGGUGCUCUCGGCCGCCGCUUCCCAUUCCAUUUCUUUACUGCGGCCAAAAAAACAAGACAGUAAAAAAAAGAACAAACAAACAAAAAGGC